rnacentral:rRNA from 1 species
UACAGAGGUCUCAAGCGUUGUUCGGAUUCAUUGGGCGUAAAGGGCGCGUAGGCGGCGGGGUAAGUCGGGUGUGAAAUCUCAGAGCUCAACUCUGAAACUGCACUCGAUACUGCUCUGCUUGAGGACUGGAGAGGAGACUGGAAUUCACGGUGUAGCAGUGAAAUGCGUAGAUAUCGUGAGGAAGACCAGUGGCGAAGGCGGGUCUCUGAACAGUUCCUGACGCUGAGGCGCGAAGGCCAGGGGAGCAAACGGG